GUCUAGUGAAAGUAAAAAGAAGAAAAACAGAGCUAAGCCAAGGAAAUGAUUUCUUUCCCACCUACAAUGCAUGAAAAGAAAUUAACAUGAAAAGGGUCUGAGGAAGACAUUAAUAUUUUGAUAGUGGCAGAAGAAUGUUAUUUACAAAAAUAAUGACAAAUGUUGAAGAGAAAAUACAGGCUUCCUAGCAACUAGACCAAAGAUAAGAUGCUGUUGAAUUCAAGAUAGACAUUUGGAAUAUACAGUUAGCUGUCAUUUGAACACAGGCCCAUGGCACAAGUUCAGAAACGUAAAGUUACAGAGAAAAUAAAGACCCCCAGAGCAAAAUCACCACAGUCUCCAUGGAAAUCAAUUGGUUCAUUCUUCGUCUUAAGAGUCCAGCAUUCACUCAACAAACAUCUUAUGCUGCCAGGUUUCUCUAAUGCAGCAGAACUUGAUCAUAAGAACCCAUCACUGAGAACAUCAUCUAUUUUGCCCAUAAGACUUGGAGAACUGAAGCAGGAACUAAGAUGGAGAUGUCCUCACCACUAACUAGCCCCUGCAGUGUUUGGAAGAUGCUAUUCACGCUGCUAGAUGAGAGAGAACAUGAACAGCCUUAUCCGGCUAUGAACUGUAGACUAGGCCCAGACAGAAGGAUAUGCCACAGCAGGAGACAGGAUCCAGAAUGAGAAUAGACAAAAGACAUUUUCAAAAGUCCAGGUUCACAGCUUGACAGAAGCCUUCACACAGAAAGAGCCAUUGCACAUUGGACAGAUGAUCCCAGAAUGGAAGUUUCCAGAGGAAAUAACAGUCAAUAAACAGGACCAACUACAUAACAAAAGCAAUAUUGGUUACUUGCUGGUUUUUAGAACAUGAGCACAGGGGUUGAUCCCAGGAUUCUGUGCCUGCUAAGCAAACAUUCUGUCACAGAGCUACACCUCCCGUUCCAGAUGAAUUACUGGUGUGAUGAAUUUGACUUCAACUUAAUGACACAACUUGUAAUGUUACCAAAAAAAAAAAAAAAAAAAGGAAUAAUUCCACAAGGCAAACAUUCAAACAUAAAUCCACGAAGUUGAACGUCAUCAGCGAUCUGAUUCAUUUUAUGAUUAGAAUAACAUUCCUUAAUAAUUCUUAUAUAACAUGGCUUGAGAUACCCAAAGUACAUAUUUUCUAUCAACACAAAUGCUUCUUCACCAUGUAUCCUAGGAAAAAAAUCACCUAGGGGUGAUUAUUAAAAAAAAAAAAAAAA
rnacentral:lncRNA from 1 species